rnacentral:other from 1 species
AACUGGCUGGGUGGUGUCGACAGGUUGCAUUACUCCCGAGGGCCGAUGCAAACAUAGCGGGAGCUGUCCCUGACUGCGAUCUUGGUUGUGGUUAUAUGGCGCCCACCUGGGUAAACUGGGUCCGCUGUGGAGAAGCAAAAAACCAUCGCCCACCUGGCUAGUUU